AUGGAGUUUGUGCUGAGCUGGGUUUUCCUUGUUGCUAUUUUAAAACGUAUCCAGUGUGAGAUGCAGCUGGUGGAGUCUGGGGGAGGCUUGGCAAAGCCUGCGUGGUCCCCGAGACUCUCCUGUGCAGCCUCUCAAUUCACCUUCAGUAGCUACUACAUGAACUGUGUCCGCCAGGCUCCAGGGAAUGGGCUGGAGUUGGUUGGACAAGUUAAUCCUAAUGGGGGUAGCACAUACCUCAUAGACUCCGGUAAGGACCGAUUCAAUACCUCCAGAGAUAACGCCAAGAACACACUUCAUCUGCAAAUGAACAGCCUGAAAACCGAGGACACGGCCCUGUAUUAGUGUACCAGAGA